rnacentral:rRNA from 1 species
AGUGAACGCUGGCGGUAGGCCUAACACAUGCAAGUCGAACGGCAGCACAGUAAGAGCUUGCUCUUACGGGUGGCGAGUGGCGGACGGGUGAGGAAUACAUCGGAAUCUACUUUUUCGUGGGGGAUAACGUAGGGAAACUUACGCUAAUACCGCAUACGACCUACGGGUGAAAGCAGGGGAUCUUCGGACCUUGCGCGAUUGAAUGAGCCGAUGUCGGAUUAGCUAGUUGGCGGGGUAAAGGCCCACCAAGGCGAGGAUCCGUAGCUGGUCUGAGAGGAUGAUCAGCCACACUGGAACUGAGACACGGUCCAGACUCCUACGGGAGGCAGCAGUGGGGAAUAUUGGACAAUGGGCGCAAGCCUGAUCCAGCCAUACCGCGUGGGUGAAGAAGGCCUUCGGGUUGUAAAGCCCCUUUGUUGGGAAAGAAAAGCAGCAGGUUAAUACCCCGCUGUUCUGACGGUACCCAAAGAAUAAGCACCGGCUAACUUCGUG